rnacentral:rRNA from 1 species
UACGAAGGGGGCUAGCGUUGCUCGGAAUCACUGGGCGUAAAGAGCUCGUAGGCGGUUUGGCAAGUCGGGUGUGAAAACUCCGGGCUCAACUCGGAGACGCCACUCGAUACUGCUAUGACUCGAGUCCGGUAGGGGAGUGCGGAAUUCCUGGUGUAGCGGUGAAAUGCGCAGAUAUCAGGAGGAACACCGGUGGCGAAGGCGGCACUCUGGGCCGGUACUGACGCUGAGGAGCGAAAGCGUGGGGAGCGAACAGG